CUUACAGUGAACUCACUAUAGUUUGUGAUGUAUUUUCUCAAAAUGAUAAUCAGUGCAAAGUUGUCUAUAGUCGUGCAGUGGAAAUGUGUGUAUCUGUAUAAAUCAUUUUAAAUUGACCAAGUAUCGAUGUUCAAAACGUAGUGUUUUGUAUUUUCGUUGUACAAAUAAAAAGUGCAAAGCUAUUGUUAUUGUAAAUAAACUAUAUACCGCAGUUAUUUAGGUUCCUUAUAAAUUAUCACAUUGAACAUGGUUAAGCAAAUGAAAUUGAAAAACAGAUGACUCGCAGUGUUGUGAAAUUUAAAGCUGGAACGGAACUACAUAUUCUAUAAUCGAGUGAAAUGAUAAGAUAAGUGCUUCAUUUAAAUCAAGGUAACUAAAAGGCAACUGUGCUCAAACCACAUGUGUUCUGGUUUAAAGCUCUAUUGUUCUCAAACGAGUGGUAGUUUGGUAUACGCAAACAAGUUGUCUUUUUGGUAAUUGUGCGCAAACCAGUACCGUCCACUGGUUUUAUAUCAACACAUAAAAUCAAUACACCAUAAGUUAUCAAAAAAAUGCUCCAAUUUUCAACUUGGUGAGUGAUUUUGGAUAGAAUAUUUGAUCCAG